UACGUAGGGUGCAAGCGUUGUCCGGAAUUAUUGGGCGUAAAGAGCUCGUAGGCGGUUUGUCGCGUCUGCUGUGAAAAUCCGGGGCUCAACCCCGGACUUGCAGUGGGUACGGGCAGACUAGAGUGUGGUAGGGGAGACUGGAAUUCCUGGUGUAGCGGUGGAAUGCGCAGAUAUCAGGAGGAACACCGGUGGCGAAGGCGGGUCUCUGGGCAGUAACUGACGCUGAGGAGCGAAAGCGUGGGGAGCGAACAGG
rnacentral:rRNA from 1 species